rnacentral:rRNA from 1 species
UUUCGAAUCAUUCACAAUGGGGGAAACCCUGAUGGUGCGACGCCGCGUGGGGGAUGAAGGUCUUCGGAUUGUAAACCCCUGUCACCUGGGACUAAACCUCGGCGAAGAGCCGAGCUGAAUUAACCAGGAGAGGAAGCAGUGGCAAACUCUGUGCCAGCAGCCGCGGUAAUACAGAGACUGCAAGCGUUACUCGGAUUCACUGGGCGUAAAGGGAGCGCAGGUGGGCAGGUGUGUCGGGCGUGAAAUCCCGGGGCUUAACCCCGGAACUGCGCCCGAAACUAUCUGUCUAGAGGAUUGGAGAGGCGGGUGGAAUUCCAGGUGUAGCGGUGAAAUGCGUAGAUAUCUGGAGGAACACCGACGGCGAAGGCAGCCCGCUGGACAAAUCCUGACACUCAGGCUCGAAAGUAUGGGGAGCAAAAGGGAUUAGAUACCCCCGUAGUCC